rnacentral:rRNA from 1 species
UACGUAGGGUGCGAGCGUGAAUCGGAAUUACUGGGCGUAAAGCGUGCGCAGGCGGUUUGUUAAGCCAGAUGUGAAAGCCCCGGGCUCAACCUGGGAACUGCGUUUGGUACUGGCAAGCUAGAGUACGGCAGAGGGGGGUGGAAUUCCACGUGUAGCAGUGAAAUGCGUAGAGAUGUGGAGGAACACCGAUGGCGAAGGCAGCCCCCUGGGCCGAUACUGACGCUCAGGCACGAAAGCGUGGGGAGCAAGCAGG